rnacentral:rRNA from 1 species
GAUGAACGCUGGCGGCGUGCCUAAUACAUGCAAGUCGAGCGAACAGACGAGGAGCUUGCUCCUUCGACGUUAGCGGCGGACGGGUGAGUAACACGUAGGUAACCUACCUAUAAGACUGGGAUAACUUCGGGAAACCGGAGCUAAUACCGGAUAAUAUUUCGAACCGCAUGGUUCGAUAGUGAAAGAUGGCUUUGCUAUCACUUAUAGAUGGACUGCGCCGUAUUAGCUAGUUGGUAAGGUAACGGCUUACCAAGGCAACGAUACGUAGCCGACCUGAGAGGGUGAUCGGCCACACUGGAACUGAGACACGGUCCAGACUCCUACGGGAGGCAGCAGUAGGGAAUCUUCCGCAAUGGGCGAAAGCCUGACGGAGCAACGCCGCGUGAGUGAUGAAGGUCUUCGGAUCGUAAAACUCUGUUAUUAGGGAAGAACAAACGUGUAAGUAACUGUGCACGUCUUGACGGUACCUAAUCAGAAAGCCACGGCUAACUACGUG